AUUGAACGCUGGCGGCAUGCCUUACACAUGCAAGUCGAACGGUAACAGGUCUUCGGAUGCUGACGAGUGGCGAACGGGUGAGUAAUACAUCGGAACGUGCCUAGUAGUGGGGGAUAACUACUCGAAAGAGUGGCUAGUACCGCAUGAGAUCUACGGAUGAAAGCAGGGGAUCGCAAGACCUUGUGCUACUCGAGCGGCCGAUGGCAGAUUAGGUAGUUGGUGGGAUAAAAGCUUACCAAGCCGACGAUCUGUAGCUGGUCUGAGAGGACGAUCAGCCACACUGGGACUGAGACACGGCCCAGACUCCUACGGGAGGCAGCAGUGGGGAAUUUUGGACAAUGGGCGCAAGCCUGAUCCAGCAAUGCCGCGUGCAGGAUGAAGGCCUUCGGGUUGUAAACUGCUUUUGUACGGAACGAAAAGCCCUGGGUUAAUACCCUGGGGUCAUGACGGUACCGUAAGAAUAAGCACCGGCUAACUACGUGCCAGCCGCCGCGGUAAAAC
rnacentral:rRNA from 1 species